rnacentral:tRNA from 1 species
GGGGUUGUAGCUCAGUGGUAGAGUGCUUGCCUAGCAUGCAUGAGGCAUUGGGUUCGAUCCUCAGCACCA